rnacentral:rRNA from 1 species
CAGCCGCCGCGGGAAUACGUAGGUGGCAAGCGUUGUCCGGAAUUAUUGGGCGUAAAGCGCGCGCAGGUGGUUUAAUAAGUCUGAUGUGAAAGCCCACGGCUCAACCGUGGAGGGUCAUUGGAAACUGUUAAACUUGAGUGCAGGAGAGAAAAGUGGAAUUCCUAGUGUAGCGGUGAAAUGCGUAGAGAUUAGGAGGAACACCAGUGGCGAAGGCGGCUUUUUGGCCUGUAACUGACACUGAGGCGCGAAAGCGUGGGGAGCAAACAGGAUUAGAGACCCCCGUAGUCCCUGUCUCUUAUAC